CCACCUUCUUGUCUGUGUCUUGUUCUGUCUCUCGCUCUACUCACUGCGUAUGCGAUCUCUCUCGCUCUCCUCGCUUCAAUGUGAUCUCUUUCUCACUCUCCUCGUUGCAAUUUGUUACCUGAAGCUCUGUUUAUCCUUAAGCUUUUGUUGCAAUUGAAAAAGAAAUUGAACCUGUUGAUGAAAGCAUGAUUUGGUGGAAUAUGCAAAGUUGUUGCCUAUGCACUGCUGCUUAUUUCCUGUUAUCACUAUAAAGCCAAGGUGAAGUCCCAGUGCCCGUUACAGAGGUCCGGAGCCUGUAUGAGAUUUUAGAUUACAAGGUGAACAAAGGAAUGCUCUUCUUUGAUGCAAUUUGAUCUGCUCAAAAUUCUUCUUUUAAUGGAAAUGGACACAAGAUGGAGCCAACCUGAUAUUUGGUUGCUUCUUGAGGUUACUUAGCAUGAAUGAUGAAUCCCAAGUUUGAGCACAUAUUGUGGAGCUAAGGUUAAGGCAUGUUUGGUUGAUCUGUUGCUAUGCUUGGAGCCUUUCAUCAGUUGUAUUUUUUGGCCUGCAUCUAUCCGCUAUUAAGGCAGCCGAUUACAAACAACAGUUGCUUGUCAAAAUAAAACAAUUGCCGCAAGCUAAACAUGGAAAUAUAGAUAUGGAUCCAACAGAUUUGAAUGAACGAAAUCCUUCUAUUGGUAAUACUACUCAUGGAAGUAAUGCAAAUGAUGGUACACAUGUUGAUGAGUAUAUAUAUAAAUGAUUUUUGAAUGUAGAACUUAAAGAAUUAUUUAAAGUACGAUAUGUAGCCACCUUAAAGUUAUUAGAACCGUUAACAUUUUGGAUGUAUUGAUGACUUUGAUAUUAUGUAAUGUGAGAUACUUAUGUUUAUGAUGGAAAAAGUUGAUGUUUGCAAACAAA